rnacentral:rRNA from 1 species
AGCAGCCGCGGUAAUUCCAGCUCCAAUAGCGUAUAUUAAAGUUGUUGCAGUUAAAAAGCUCGUAGUUGAAUUUCGGGAUCAGUUGGUCGGUCGUGCCUCGGUACGUACUGGUCAAAUUGAUUCCUACCUUCUGACGAACCACGAUGUCAUUAAUUUGGUGUCGCGGGAAAUCAGGACUGUUACUUUGAAAAAAUUAGAGUGUUUAAAGCAGGCUCGCGCUUGAAUACAUUAGCAUGGAAUAAUGAAAUAGGACGUUUGAUUCUAUUUUGUUGGUUUCUAGGAUCGACGUAAUGAUUAAUAGGGAUAGUUGGGGGCAUUAGUAUUCAAUUGUCAGAGGUGAAAUUCUUGGAUUUAUUGAAGACUAACUACUGCGAAAGCAUUUGCCAAGGAUGUUUUCAUUAAUCAAGAACGAAAGUUAGGGGAUCGAAGACGAUCAGAUACCGUCGUAGUCUUAACCAUAAACUAUGCCGACUAGGGAUCGGAUGA